rnacentral:rRNA from 1 species
AUUAAACGCUGGCGGCAGGCUUAACACAUGCAAGUCGAGCGGGGUGAUGGUGCUUGCACUAUCACUUAGCGGCGGACGGGUGAGUAAUGCUUAGGAAUCUGCCUAUUAGUGGGGGACAACAUCUCGAAAGGGAUGCUAAUACCGCAUACGCCCUACGGGGGAAAGCAGGGGAUCACUUGUGACCUUGCGUUAAUAGAUGAGCCUAAGUCGGAUUAGCUAGUUGGUGGGGUAAAGGCCUACCAAGGCGACGAUCUGUAGCGGGUCUGAGAGGAUCAUCCGCCAAACUGGGACUGAGAAACGGCCCAGAAUCCUACGGGAAGCAGCAGUGGGGAGUAUUGGACAAUGGGGGGAACCCUGAUCCAGCCAUGCCGCGUGUGUGAAGAAGGCCUUAUGGUUGUAAAGCACUUUAAGCGAGGAGGAGGCUCUUUUGGUUAAUACCCAAGAUGAGUGGACGUUACUCGCAGAAUAAGCACCGGCUAACUCUGUGCCAGCCGCCGCCGUAACAC